rnacentral:tRNA from 1 species
AUUUAAGUAGUUUAUUGAGAAUAAGAGAGUGUGGCGUUCUUGGAGCCUAAGCGGCCUUAAAUA